GCCGAUGUAGUUUAGCGGUAAAACGUCGCCAUGGUAAGGCGAAGACCUCGGGUUCGAUUCCCGACAUCGGCU
rnacentral:tRNA from 1 species